ACCUUCGGAUUUAUUUUGAGAUAUACGCUGUGCAUGAAUUUUUUUUUUUUUGGUAUGGAACAAUUAGGAAAUUUGGGACCAAAAGUGAAAAAUUGGAAGAAGAAAAUCAUCCACAAUUUCCAUGGUUGGCCCACACAAAUGGUGUUCAAUUUUAAUUGGGACAACACAUUAAUGUGGGCCAAGGGACCUUGACCAAGUCCUUCUAACUUAAAAAAGAUGACCACUAGUCAUCUUUAGCUCAUUUCAACACUUGCAAAAAAAUAUUGAAGACCUCUCCAUUGAAGGAGGCUCACGGCCAGCCCCUCCCCAAAAUUUACCUCCAUUUCUUGUCCUUCAAAAAUUAUUCCAUUGGUACAAACCCACCAUAUUGAGGUCCCUAAGUAUCGUGGAGGCAUCGUUGGAGCGAUCAACCUAUUAUUUUUCAUCUUUUGAAAACCCUAGGCUAUUGGAAGUAGAAGAGAAAAAGAUCGUCGGCAGCCCGAAGCCUAGUUUGGACUUAGCUUGAGUUGGAUCAUAUUGGAGAGCGUUUGAGGUACAGACGCACAGCCUGGUGAUCCACCGGUUUAGGACACCCCCUUCUGCUAUUCGGAGUGCUCCUCUCAUUCCGGAGCUUAUAUUUUUGGUAUAUAUAUUUGUUAGUGCAUUUAU